UACGUAGGGGGCAAGCGUUGUCCGGAAUCAUUGGGCGUAAAGAGCGUGUAGGCGGCUUGGUAAGUCCGCUGUGAAAGUCCAGGGCUCAACCCUGGAAAGCCGGUGGAAACUGUCAAGCUUGAGUCCGGAAGAGGCGAGUGGAAUUCCUGGUGUAGCGGUGAAAUGCGCAGAUAUCAGGAGGAACACCGGUGGCGAAGGCGGCUCACUGGACCGAGACUGACGCUGAGGCGCGAAAGCGUGGGGAGCAAACAGG
rnacentral:rRNA from 1 species